rnacentral:rRNA from 1 species
CCUACGGGUCGCAGCAGUGGGGAAUAUUGCACAAUGGGCGCAAGCCUGAUGCAGCCAUGCCGCGUGUAUAAAGAAGGCCUUCGGGUUGUAAAGUACUUUCAGCGGAGAGGAAGGCGAUAAGGUUAAUAACCUUGUCGAUUGACGUUACCCGCAGAAGAAGCACCGGCUAACUCCGUGCCAGCAGCCGCGGUAAUACGGAGGGUGCAAGCGUUAAUCGGAAUUACUGGGCGUAAAGCGCACGCAGGCGGUCUGUCAAGUCGGAUGUGAAAUCCCCGGGCUCAACCUGGGAACUGCAUUCGAAACUAGCAGGCUGGAGUCUUGUAGAGGGGGGUAGAAUUCCAGGUGUAGCGGUAAAAUGCGUAGAGAUCUGGAGGAAUACCGGUGGCGAAGGCGGCCCCCUGGACAAAGACCGACGCUCAGGUGCGAAAGCGUGGGGAGCAAACAGGAUUAGAUACCCCCGUAGUC